GUGCCAGCCGCCGCGGUAAUACGGAGGGUGCAAGCGUUGUUCGGAUUUACUGGGCGUAAAGCGCGAGCAGGUGGGCGAGCAAGUCCUGUGUGCAAUCUUUCGGCUCAACCGAAAAACUGCAUGGGAAACUACUCGUCUUGAGUGCGAGAGAGGAUGGCGGAAUUCCUGGUGUAGCGGUGAAAUGCGUAGAUAUCAGGAGGAACACCGGUGGCGAAGGCGGCCAUCUGGCUCGACACUGACGCUCAUUCGCGAAGGUCGGGGGAGCAAACAGGAUUAGAAACCCUCGUAGUCC
rnacentral:rRNA from 1 species